UUAAGCCUACAAUUUCAAAAAACCGUUUUUUAAAUUUACCCUUUCAGUGCCCCUAACUCCCUUAAUAUGCAUUUUCCACCCUAUAGUUAUAGGAACUUUUUUUAAAAUUUUUAGGAGUACUAUCACCCCCCGAAUUUUUUUACACCAUUUCAAUGACACCCUGUAUAUUGGAACAGGCAAUAACAAAACACUCAGAUAAAAUAGUUAAAAUGAAGUGUUCAGCAUUAUUUUCCUCAGAUUGGUGUAAGAUAAUAAUUUCGAUAGUAGUGAUACAAUGCUUAGUUUAUUGCAUUGCUGACGAGCUCCCGGAUCCUAGAAGACUCAAUACCAAUGAAGUAGAGCGAAUAAUGUCGGAUAAUACACCUGUUGCUCUUGUCUUUUUAGAGGCCUGGGUGUCUAGUAACCUCGGUAGUUCUUGGUGGCAUUUUUUGUACACAGGAACUGGAACUGAGAUACCAACGUUAGGAAAUAUGGGCCGACAUAAAAAUAUAAUAAUUCAAGCACUUCCAGAAAAUGCCAAAUUUACGAGCAUAGUACUGCUUGAAAGAACUAGAACGUCUCGCUAUCAGGUGACUGUCCAAAAAGUUACCAGACGUAAGUGGUUAACUUGGUCCUAUCGACGGAAAGAGAAAGACAAAGCUGUAUCCUCGAAGUAUCUAAAAACUCUUGAAAUCGCCAUCCAUAAUAAUAACAUAACAAAUAAAUAAAUAAAAACAUGUUUGUAUUUAAUAUUUAUUAAUAAAAAAGUACAUAAUAUAA